AUACGGAGGGGACUAGCGUUGUUCGGAAUUACUGGGCGUAAAGGGCGCGCAGGCGGUUUGGUAAGUCAGAUGUGAAAGCCCCGGGCUCAACCCGGGAACUGCAUUUGAAACUGAGUGACUAGAGUUUAAGAGAGGGGAGUAGAAUUCCGGGUGUAGCGGUGAAAUGCGUAGAGAUCUGGAGGAAUACCAGUGGCGAAGGCGGCUACCUGGCUUAAAACUGACGCUGAGGUACGAAAGCGUGGGUAGCAAACAGGAUUAGAAACCCUAGUAGUCC
rnacentral:rRNA from 1 species